GCCGCCGCCGCCGCUGCUUAACUCCUUCAGCUCUGAAGCCGAACCAGCGAGCCGCGUCGCAGGCCGGGAGGUGGAGCCACUGCGCCGGAGCAGAUUGCGCCCCCGCCCCUCCCGCCAAGUCCCUCGGGUUGCUCUCGGGAGACAAUGAAGACAUUGAAAUAGCUUGAGAUUUUGCAUCGCUUGGUUUUGUCAUUCAUCAGAAUGGAAACUACAAUCAAGAAGACUUGGACAUGGAAGGGCAGCUAUGAAGGAACUUGUAAAAUCUUGGAAGUGCAGCAAAAUAUCACUGAUUACUAAAGAUGCCAUCGUACUUCCCAUUUCUAUGUAUGAUUCCUAGAGCAAAUCAACCCUGAAGAACCCCUAAAAGCCAAUAUGAGUAAAAUGAGAUUGUUGUACUCUGUCCAUAUCAUGAGACAAGGUGACUCACUAGGAAAAGCAGUAAUGCUUGGAGAGGUAAAAGCCAGUAGGAAAAAGGGAAGAUCACACUCCAGAUGGAUUGACUCAAUCUAGUCCGCCAUGAACCUAAGUCAUGAACUAAGCAGGGCUGCUGAUAAUAUGGUGACUUAGGGGUCUUUAGAAUAAAUCUCACAUAGAAUACGUUCACAAAGGAAUAAUGAAUGUAUAAGCAGGUAAGGUGAGAACCUUUUCCUUUUUGGAAUUUCUUAAAAUUAGAGGUUUAUUAACUCGAUCCAAACUCAAGACUAGAUCCUUUAUUCUUUUGGAGAGGGAAAGGAUAAUGAGUUUUAAUCAUUACUGCUUUUUAUAGUGGAUCUGAUGCACAUUUAAAUUCCCCGUACCUGCAUAUUUGCUGGAAUCAUCCAUUUGCCUUGCCUUUUGUUAUUAAUUUCCUUCUCAGUGAGUUGUGCAUAGCUCAGAGAAGGAGAAGCCAAAUGUAUUUCCUUAAUUAUUGGUUAUUGCAGGGCUAUAUCAUAAUCCAAAUGUGGGUUGGAUUAGUCUCUUUGCUCACUAGCUAGACUUCAAAAUGACGAUUAUCCUUUUCCACAAAAUGAUAGCUUUAGCAAUAGUUUCUGAUACAGAGGAAAACACUGUUUUCAAAUCUCAGCUAAAGAGAAGUUAACAAGGCUCCAAAGACUUGCCGGAUUGCAGCUGGAAUUCACCAGCAGCCAAUUUGCUCCCCAUAUAUCAACCACACAUUGGAAGUUGUUUAACUCAUUGUUGCUAUAGAAGCGAUUAAAGGCAUUUUCAUUCAGUCUGGAAAA